CAGAACUUGUGGGCUUCCAUCAAGAGUACUUGGCUCCAUUAAUUUCACAAUCUUUCUUGGAUAUUGGUUCUGUCUCGAGGAUUCUGGAUGGCAUAAUGAAACAUUGUUUGCAAUUUUGCUGGAAGAUGUAGAAUCAAGAGGACAGUGGAAAUACUGAUGAGCUACAGCAUAUCGCCCAGCAAUUUAACAAAAAAUCAAACUCCUUAUACACUAUACUGCGAAGUAGUAGGCUUGCCGGGAGCCAAAGAACGCCAUUCCUGAGGCGUUUUCUUUUGCGCCUCAACUUCAAUUCUUUCUUCGAGGUGACUGCAAGAGGCGUAUUGAACGUUGUCAGGCCUCACCCACACCUGCGAUGACUGCGGUUUUCCACCGCUCUAUAAUUUGCAUGAAUUAU